rnacentral:misc_RNA from 1 species
GAAAUGCGAUAAGUAAUGUGAAUUGCAGAAUUCAGUGAAUCAUCGAAUCUUUGAACGCACAUUCCGCCGGCCAGUAUUCUUACGGGCAUGCUUGUUCGAGCGUCAUUUCAACCAUCAAGCCCCCGGGCUUGUGUUGGGGACCCUGCGGCUGCCCGCAGGCCCUGAAAUGCAGUGGCGGGCUUGCUGUCCACACCGAGCGUAGUAGCAUUACACCUCGCUCAGGGCUUGCGGCGUGCUCCAGCCGCUAAACGCGACGUUAACGCAUACCAAGGUUGACCUCGGAUCAGGUAGGAAGACCCGCUGAACUUAA